AGUGAACGCUGGCGGUAGGCCUAACACAUGCAAGUCGAACGGCAGCACAGUAAGAGCUUGCUCUUACGGGUGGCGAGUGGCGGACGGGUGAGGAAUACAUCGGAAUCUACUUUUUCGUGGGGGAUAACGUAGGGAAACUUACUCUAAUACCGCAUACGACCUACGGGUGAAAGCAGGGGAUCUUCUGACCUUGCGCGAUUGAAUGAGCCGAUGUCGGAUUAGCUAGUUGGCGGGGUAAAGGCCCACCAAGGCGACGAUCCGUAGCUGGUCUGAGAGGAUGGUCGGCCACCCUGGAACUGAACCACGGUCCAGAGUCCUACGGGAGGCAGCAGUGGGGAAUAUUGGACAAUGGGCGCAAGCCUGAUCCAGCCAUAUCGCGUGGGUGGAGAAGGCCUUCGGGUUGUGAAGCCCUUUUGUUGGGAAAGAAAAGCAGCAGGUUAAUACCCCGCUGUUCUGACGGUACCCAAAGAAUAAGCACCGGCUAACUUCGUG
rnacentral:rRNA from 1 species